GAAAAGAAAAAAAAAAGAAGAAUAGAAGAAGAAGAAGAAGAAAUGGACAUACUUUAGCUGCGACCGUUUUGUUCCUCCAAGGUAGAGCCACCACUUGGAAAUGGACAUACCUUAGAUGCGACCGUUUUGUUCCUACAAGCUUCAUAACAUCGCCACAAGCAGGAGCUCCAACUAAACCGAUGCCGAUGAACGGGAUGUGAUGGGAUCUCCUUGACGUUAGCCCAAUCAACCGUUUUGAUGCCAGACUCAGCAUUUUCGCUGUCGAUUUUCAAUUUUCACUACUAUGGAAAAAAUUCAUGCCUCAUGAUAGCUAAGAACUUUUCUAGGUUCGUCUGCCAACAUUUUGUCCCCAAUUUUUUUUCCAUUCUGGGCCUAAUUUUAGGUAAAUUCCAUGUCAAUCUGCCUCAUCAGCUAAUUGGGUUAAUUGGGUUUCCAAUGUGAUAAGUUAAUUGUCCACAUCGGCGAUCCCAUUAAGACAAUAAUAGAAAAUGUUAGUAAAUGACUGAUUUGUCAGUUUUUUAUAGCGUUAGUGACUGUUUUGUUAUUUUUCUAAAGUUGAGUGACUGAAAUAAAAUCUAUGUGAUUGUUUUGUCAA